AUAGUUCUUGCGUCAAGUCGCAGUUCUGCUCUUGUGCCAGCAGAGGUCGCCAUCCACCACAGAGAGACUGAAUCCUUUGUAGCUCCUGACCUGGGCUUGUAGUUUUUCACCUGGGAUUUGUAGUUCUUAUCUUGAGGAUCCAGCAGAGGCUUUCAGGGCACAUGCAGAGGGCCUUCCUGUCACUACCGGGCAGAGGAGAGAAGAACAGCCAAAGGGAGUGCUAGAACCAACAAAAAAAGUCCCUCAUAGUCGCUUUAAACAACACCAACACUCCCCCAGGGAAAUCCCAGUCCAGGGAGAAACAGCCAAUAAAGCUGCCCAGUUAACUUAUUAGCUUAUUAGCCAAAACAGCUACAAUUAGCAGCAGUUAGGAGUUGCUCAGUUACGCUGCCCCCUGUUUUCUUUAGAGCAUGAGUGUGGUCAGUUCUUACGUACUGCACCUUUAACAUAUAUUUUCAAAUACAAAAAUAUGCUCUUAACAUGAUGACUUGUUUCACUAUGAGAAUGUGAUCCAUUUAUGCAUACUUCAUUUGGAAAAUCUAGAAGAACUGUAUGAUUAAAUCAUUAUGUUUUUACUUGUUUUUUAUUCCUCAACUUAAUGGCGCUUUAGAGACUAAUUUGAAUUUUUUACUCCACUACAUGUAAUGGAUAACUUUGUUUUUAGUUACUUUUAACAGUUUCAGAUUAAUAACUUAAAUUGAUCACAUACCAUUUGGUAAAUCACUGGUGUCAGAUCAGCACUCAUAAUCGGGCGACAUACAUAUGUCAGUUAGUGUUGAAAGGUAAAAAUGGUGCUGGAGCAUCUUAAAUAAAAUACAUUCUGAAGUCAGUCACAGAAGCAAAUUAGGAAAAACUGUGAAGAACUUUGGGAAAAUCAAGAGAAAACAGCAGAUCCGUACCACCUGUAUCUGAACAGGCCGACUGAGGAGGCUGACGGGUCUGCAGGGAUAAAAAUCAUCCACCGUCAGUGGAGUCCCAGGCAGCCUCUCCCUCUAGGGUUUGAAGUUAUACUGUAGAUACCACAAGAUAAAGAUCGACGGAGCAAAAAAACCUCUAUUCCCAUAUCUAUUCUCCUGGCAGUGACUCAAGACAUGGAGAUAUAUGUAGGAGUCUGGGAAAAACAUGGUCCAGGGGCUUAGAAAUACUUGUGGGUGUACACUACAGAGCAUCAACUGAUUAUUUUUAUGACAUUUGUCGACAUGCACAUUAAAUGUUUGUCUGCACUGUCGUGACACUGAUAUUGACUGCUACAGACGACAUAA